rnacentral:rRNA from 1 species
UACAGAGGUGGCAAGCGUUGUUCGGAAUUACUGGGCGUAAAGGGCGCGUAGGCGGCCUUCUAAGUCAGACGUGAAAUCCCCCGGCUUAACCUGGGAACUGCGUCUGAUACUGGGAGGCUUGAGUAUGGGAGAGGGACGCGGAAUUCCAGGUGUAGCGGUGAAAUGCGUAGAUAUCUGGAGGAACACCGGUGGCGAAGGCGGCGUCCUGGACCAACACUGACACUGAGGAGCGAAAGCCAGGGGAGCAAACGGG